AAAAAGGAAAAUUUGAAAGGUACUACCAUCUAUAUAUCAGCCCGAUUUUCCAUCAGAUCUUUUGCUACUGUUCAUUUGUCGUGAAGAACCUAUAAAGAAAUAUGGCAUGCAUAGUCCAAGUUUAGAUAUGUGAAGCAGAUUCAGUCUCCUGUUUAAGUGGUGGUACCUGAAAUUGCAGCUGCUUGCAGUUGGGACUACCUAACUCUAUGGGUUGUCCUGCAACAAGAUUAUAAACCUUCACCAUACUCCCAUGUCUAUCAUUCACAUUUUGGUGACUAGCUUCUGUCAGCAUCAUCAGGAAUAUGAUGAUAUAAGAAACCUGUGCAAUGCAUUUGGUAGAAGUGAUGGAUCACAGAACACUCUUUUAUGUUCUCAAAUUAUCAAUCGAAGUUACGGGCCAUAAUCAAAUAUUUAGUUGGUAUCUAUGCAACUGAAGCAUUUUGGUCUUUACAUCUGACAGUAAAGGAUGCCAGAACUUUGAUCAUUGUCCCUCUUCCAUGUCUCAAAAUUCCAAGUGAAAUCUGACUGGUAAGGCUGAGAGUGCAAAGUGGUCCAGCAAGGAAGGCUUCCACCUCUCUGAGUCCUUCUAAUUCCAAUGGUCCUCUUGCAAACUUGGGCAUAAAGCUGGGUGAUUACAUGAUUAUGCUGAUCUCUAAAGGACUGGUUCAUGGUUAUCGACUCUCCCUCAUGGAUGAUGCAAAUUGUUAGUCUCAUGAGUUGUGAAGGAUAUGCUACAAUUGAAACUUUUCUUCACCUUUCUAUUGGAAUAUAGAUUAUAUUACUGUUAAUCAACAGUUCUUGUAGCAUCAAAUUCGUUCUCAGGUCUGACACCUGUAGCAAAGAUCCCUCUUUAAAGACUCAUCUUGCAUGGUCCUCUCACAAGCCUAACCUGUCAGGUACCUACCUGCAUUUAUCCAACCCAUUUUAAAACUGAUAUUGGGUUUGGUUUCAGGAUGGAUAUAGUGGGAAAUUAUAUAUCCAUGUCAGUCCUUUGCAGGGCAGAGUCAAAUGUAGGAAGGAAAGUAAGCCAUUCUUCCCAUGGAGCAGGAAAAAGGCAAUAAUUUAAUAGUUAGAUUUGGAUACGACUAAAGCAAAAUCUGCAGAUACCCUAUCUACUGUGAUAAGGUCGUCAAUAUGGCCAAUCACCAUCAUGUUUUCCUCACCGCUAUAGCUUUGAGAGAAUGGAUUCUCCACGUCUUCCGUUGCUUUCUCAGGCAUAUUUUGUAGUUAAGCUACAGCCACGGGUCAUGAUCGUUAGGGCGAAUCCGAUAGAGCUGCUGAUUUGAGCGCCAGGCGCUCUCUUCUUUUAGUGGCCAAUUUGCUCAUUUGCAUUGGUGGAUUCUCAGAUCUUUGUUUCCACUCACAUUAUUCCUCUUUCUUUAAAUAAACACAGAUAUUGUCUUUA